UGUAAGCGUAUACCAAAGUUGUUGCAGUUAAAACGCUCGUAGUCGGAAUUUGGCAGUUCCGGAUGUGUGCACGACGUGUGCGCACUUCGCGGGGAUUGCUUUUGUGGUCUUGCGUAGGAUGAGGCACCUUUAUUAGUGAACGUCCUCACGCAACCACUUUUUACUGUGAGAAAAUCAGAGUGCUCAAAGCAGGCAUUUGCCGUGAAUGUAUUAGCAUGGAAUAAUAGAAUAGGACUUGGUUCUAUUUUGUUGGUUUGUUGGGACUGAGUAAUGAUUAAGAGGGACAGUUGGGGGCAUUUGUAUUUCGGUGCUAGAGGUGAAAUUCUUAGAUUACCGAAAGACAAACUGCUGCGAAAGCGUCUGCCAAGGAUGUUUUCAUUGA
rnacentral:rRNA from 1 species